rnacentral:lncRNA from 1 species
AAGAUCAAAUGGGUGCAGUCUAAACUUAGCAAAAGGAAAUUUUUAAUUGAUUAAAACCUAAACUAGAAUUAAAACUUAACAAAUAAUGCAUUUAAAUAGUAAUUCAAAAUCAGAGAUGCAACUGCAAGGAAAUGACUAGAACUCAAACUCUAUCAAUUUGUAGAACUUAAAUAAAUGAAACAAUAAAAGGCUAAAUAAUUGUUAAUUCUACUAGACUAAGACAUUAUAUCAGCUUAGGGAAAUAGAAUCGUCAACUGAAAUGCUGAAUCUUAGAGACGAAACCUAGGAUAACUAAAAUCGUACAAUUGGAAACAUGUUUUUCCUUCUUUUGUUUAAUCUAAUAAACAACAUGCAGCCAGAAUAAAACGAUUAAAUAUGUAAAAGAAGAACAAAAGAUAAAACCAAACAACAGAAGAAAAGAAAGAGAUUUACCUAAGUUUUAUUUCAAAAUUGAAUCAAUUUAUGAACUAGUCCAAACUCUUUAAAGCGUAAAUGAACUUUGAAUACCAUUAAUCUAUAUAUAUAUUAAUACUGCGUAUCUUAAAUUUUUUUUCGUAAUUGAGACAAACUAUUGGGUUCAAUGACCAGGCCCAAAGGCCUAAGCCCAGGCUUAUUGAAAUUUGUUCCCCAUCUGGUCUCAAUCGCAAAUCUGGCCAAAACUUUAUGUUACGUUUAAACCCUUCUAUGAUGAUAGGCUAUGCAGAGAAAUCAUAUUGCCACAAAACCUAAGCUAAUAAUCAGAAACAAUCAAAUUUUUUUUAUGUUAAAAUAGUUCAAAAGUCCAUAAAUUUACAACAUGAUCCAUAGAUUUACUUCCGCCCGCUUACUAUGAAUUUACAAUAUAUUCCUAAAUGUAACUAACAUCUCAAAAAAUAAAAUGAAAAGAAAAAUAACAAUUCCCCUAAUUUCAGGACUUCCACUGCCACCAGAACUUCUUAAAACAAGCUUCAUACUUGUAAGAAAUAAGCUAUAGAGCUGUUGCUCACAAGUCAACCUCCCAACCUUGAGAUAUCUUGACCUUGUGUCACUCACAUACAAGACAACAGAGAUAAAAGCAGGUUUCAGCAUUUUUGAGAUUCAUUAACUAACAUUUUUUUAAUCUAAAUGAUAAAUAAUCAAACAAAAGAGAAAGGAGACCAUUAAGUCAUGGAAUAUUCAUGUUUCAAAUAGUCACAUAUACUACAUUCAUACCAAAACAUCCAAGUAUCGCAUGGAAGCUCAUUCAUUAUACAUGUUUUAUCACAAGCAUACUGAUGUUAUAUUACUUCAAAAAAAAAAAAAACAAUACAUGAGAGGAGGUGGAAUACCUUGUAACAAUAUGAAACAAGCAGUAAAAAAGGCUGAAUACUAGUUCAGAAUUUUGGAAAAGAAGUAGCCAACAAAAAUAGACAGCAACAGUGAGAAUCAAACCCAAAAAAUACCCAAAAUCAACCUAAUCAGAAGACCACCAAAAAUAGAAUACCGGCCUACAAUUCUAACCGGUAAAGUUGAAGUUUUUCAAAGAACCUUUUAGGAAUUUUCUCUUUGUUUUUCAGAACUUUAAGUGGCGAAAAUACUAAGGAAUAUCGAAUGUUGAUGAUUGCUAAUGAUUGUGUGUGUGAUUGUGUGAGAGAAUGUUUCCGUUUGUAGAGUGCAAAAAGCAACCCAAAAAGAAAUAUUCCGAUCUAGUACAAUGUAUUUUUACAGCUGUAUUGUCCUUUUUCUUUAUCCAAAACUAGUAUUUGCUAAGGAUAAGGACAACUAUCCUAAGUUCCAGAAAUUUUCUAAUUUUACCCAAUGUGAAACCCCAAUUUUAUCCUUUGAAUUACCACCUAUUUCAGUUUUAUCCUAAACUUGUAGGUUUAGUUAAGUCCCUAAAGUUUCUAUCUGUGAGCAAAUUAGAACAAAUAAGGACAAACCUAAAAUUGGUUGGAAAUUUGGAUAAAAAUGCCUAAGAAGAUCAAAUGGGUGCAGUCUAAACUUAGCAAAAGGAAAUUUUUAAUUGAUUAAAACCUAAACUAGAAUUAAAACUUAACAAAUAAUGCAUUUAAAUAGUAAUUCAAAAUCAGAGAUGCAACUGCAAGGAAAUGACUAGAACUCAAACUCUAUCAAUUUGUAGAACUUAAAUAAAUGAAACAAUAAAAGGCUAAAUAAUUGUUAAUUCUACUAGACUAAGACAUUAUAUCAGCUUAGGGAAAUAGAAUCGUCAACUGAAAUGCUGAAUCUUAGAGACGAAACCUAGGAUAACUAAAAUCGUACAAUUGGAAACAUGUUUUUCCUUCUUUUGUUUAAUCUAAUAAACAACAUGCAGCCAGAAUAAAACGAUUAAAUAUGUAAAAGAAGAACAAAAGAUAAAACCAAACAACAGAAGAAAAGAAAGAGAUUUACCUAAGUUUUAUUUCAAAAUUGAAUCAAUUUAUGAACUAGUCCAAACUCUUUAAAGCGUAAAUGAACUUUGAAUACCAUUAAUCGAUUGAUCUUAACAAGAACUGUUCACUAAUGGAGGUUUCGCUUGACCAGAUAUAGACCAAGAAAAGAGAAAGAAAUUUGAGUUUCAGAUUCAAAAUUAGGUCGAUUUUGGGAUCGUUCAAAAGGGAAUAUGGGGAUAUCUGGGGAGAGGAGGUGAUGGUGACUAUUUGGUGUGAAUUUGGUGGGAUUUGGAAUAGUUAAGGUUUUAGACGGAUUUUCGAUCUAAAAUUCGAGGGUUUAGGCUGGGAUUCGAGGUAAAGGAUCUUUCAAGGUGUAAAUUUGAGGAGAUUUGGCCGUGAUCCGCUGCCGUGAAGCGAUUUUCGACCGGCGAACUACGGUGGAAUUGGGCAGAGCCAGCGAGUGAUAUAAAUGCGGCUAGGGUUUAGAGUUUAGAGAGACUCUGGAGACUGUGAGUGAGGGCUCUUUUGUGGGGUAAGGGGUUCUGGUUUUCGG